UUCUAAAAACAAAAAGCUUACAUUACCUACAUCCCCACACAGCAAAACUUUGACCUUAGUGAGGAUAAGCGGAAUAGAAGAAAGACGGAUAUUUUCACAACAAAAUAAUAUAAUAAACAGCAUUCAUGGAUGUAUUCAUGAUCAACACUGUAGGACAAAGCACAACGGUGUGGGAGACACCAUGAAGAGGCUGGCAAGGGGAGACAGCACGGCACCCAUGACUGGAAGGUGGCGGCUGGUUGUGGGGGGAGGAAGGCAGAGACAGAGCAAGAUGGGGUCCAGACCGGCUCCUCUAGUCUAGAUGGUGGCGGAGGCUGUGGCUAUAGCCCCUAAGCUGGACCCCUUUGUUACACAGAGGAUAGCCCACACGGAGCAGUUUGCCAGGGCCUUCUGAUUUGAGUGAGUCAGAACCUCUUAAUGUAACUGGUGUGCCCAGUCUGACAUACACACGUGCACAUACAGUAAAUGUUAUACAAAUGUGUGUUAUCUCUCUCUCUCUCCCUUUCCUGCUCACUCACUGCCCUCCCAACCCUGCCAGCACUCCCUUUCCUCUCAUCCAGAUAAAAUCCUUUCAGACACAAAUUUCAAUUAUUCACCUCAUCCAAAUAAUGCCAUGUGACAAGAAUUAUCCCUACUGUAAUAAUCCACUUAACUGGGAAAGAGCAGCUCAUCAAAAAGAGAAAGGAGAAAAGGGGCUGCAAGUGAGGGCGGUGAUGUGCAUGU